rnacentral:rRNA from 1 species
AUUGAACGCUGGCGGCAGGCCUAACACAUGCAUGUCGAGCGGUAGAGAGGAGCUUGCUUCUCUUGAGAGCGGCGGACGGGUGAGUAAUGCCUAGGAAUCUGCCUAGUGGUGGGGGAUAACGUUCGGAAACGGACGCUAAUACCGCAUACGUCCUACGGGAGAAAGCGGGGGACCUUCGGGCCUCGCGCCAUUAGAGGAGCCUAGGUCGGAUUAGCUAGUUGGUGAGGUAAAGGCUCACCAAGGCGACGUUCCGUAACUGGUCUGAGAGGAUGAUCAGUCACACUGGAACGGAGACACGGUCCAGACUCCUACGGGAGGCAGCAGUGGGGAAUAUUGGACAAUGGGCGAAAGCCUGAUCCAGCCAUGCCGCGUGUGUGAAGAAGGUCUUCGGAUUGUAAAGCACUUUAAGUUGGGAGGAAGGGUAGUAACCUAAUACGUUGCUACUUUGACGUUACCGACAGAAUAAGCACCGGCUAACUUCGUGCCAGCCGCCGCGGUAAAAC